rnacentral:rRNA from 1 species
UACAGAGGUCUCAAGCGUUGUUCGGAUUCAUUGGGCGUAAAGGGGUGUGUAGGUGGCGCCGUAAGUCGGGUGUGAAAAUUUCGGAGCUUAACUCCGAAACUGCAUUCGAUACUGCGGUGCUUGAGGACUGGAGAGGAGACUGGAAUUCAUGGUGUAGCAGUGAAAUGCGUAGAGAUCAUGAGGAAGACCAGUGGCGAAGGCGGGUCUCUGGACAGUUCCUGACGCUGAGGCACGAAGGUCAGGGGGAGCAAACGGG